rnacentral:rRNA from 1 species
UGAGGAAUAUUGGUCAAUGGGCGAGAGCCUGAACCAGCCACGUCGCGUGAAGGAAGACUGACCUUACGGUUUGUAAACUUCUUUUGUAGAGGGGUAAUGGCAGAUACGUGUAUUUGCGUGAAAGUACUCUACGAAUAAGCAUCGGCUAACUCCGUGCCAGCAGCCGCGGUAAUACGGGGGAUGCGAGCGUUAUCCGGAAUUAUUGGGUUUAAAGGGUGGGCAGGUGGCUAAUCAGGUCAGUGGUGAAAAGCUAUGGCUCAACCAUGGUCUUGCCAUUGAAACCGUAUAGCUAGAGAGGAGACGAGGUAGGCGGAAUGUGUGGUGUAGCGGUGAAAUGCAUAGAUAUCACACAGAACUCCGAUUGCGAAGGCAGCUUACCAGGCUUUAUCUGACACUUAGGCACGACAGCGUGGGGAUCAAACAGG